AGGUCAGCAUACUAUGGUGAAUACGUUCCCGGGCCUUGUACACACCGCCCGUCACACCAUGAGAGUUGAGAAUACCCGAAGUCCAUGUCAAAGUGGCCGAAGGUAGGCUUGAUGAUUGGGGUGAAGUCGUAACAAGGUAGC
rnacentral:rRNA from 1 species